rnacentral:rRNA from 1 species
GAUGAACGCUGGCGGCGUGCCUAAUACAUGCAAGUCGAACGAAACUUCUUUAUCACCGAGUGCUUGCGCUCACCGAUAAAGAGUUGAGUGGCGAACGGGUGAGUAACACGUGGGCAACCUGCCCAAAAGAGGGGGAUAACACUUGGAAACAGGUGCUAAUACCGCAUAACCAUAGUUACCGCAUGGUAACUAUGUAAAAGGUGGCUAUACUACCGCUUUUGGAUGGGCCCGCGGCGCAUUAGCUAGUUGGUAGGGUAAAGGCUUACCAAGGCAAUGAUGCGUAGCCGAAUUGAGAGGUUGAUCGGCCACAUUGGGACUGAGACACGGCCCUAACUCCGACGGGAGGCAGCAGUAGGGAAUCUUCCACAAUGGGCGAAAGCCUGAUGGAGCAACGCCGCGUGGGUGAAGAAGGUCUUCGGAUCGUAAAACCCUGUUGUUAGAGAAGAAAGUGCGUGAGAGUAACUGUUCACGUUUCGACGGUAUCUAACCAGAAAGCCACGGCUAACUACGUG